UGCAGUCGAACGGAAUCCAAGGAGCUUGCUCCGAAAGAUUUAGUGGCGAACGGGUGAGUAUCACGUGAGCAACCUGCCCCGAAGAUUGGGAUAACACCGGGAAACCGGUGCUAAUACCGAAUACCGUCCACCUAUCGCAUGAUGGGUAGAGGAAAUGUUUUUCGCUUCGGGAGGGGCUCGCGGUCCAUCAGCUUGUUGGCGGGGUAACGGCCCACCAAGGCUACGACGGAUAGCUGGUCUGAGAGGACGAUCAGCCACACUGGAACUGAGACACGGUCCAGACUCCUACGGGAGGCAGCAGUGGGGAAUCUUGCGCAAUGGGCGAAAGCCUGACGCAGCAACGCCGCGUGAGGGACGAAGGCUUUCUGAGUUGUAAACCUCUUUCGACAGGAACGAUUGUGACGGUACCUGUAGAAGAAGCACCGGCCAACUAUGUGCCAGCAGCCGCGGUGAUACAUAGGGUGCAAGCGUUAUUCGGAUUUAUUGGGCGUAAAGAGCUCGUAGGCGGUUCAACAAGUCGGGUGUUAAACCCCCAGGCUCAACCUGGGGCCGCCACCCGAAACUGUUGUGACUAGAGUUUGGUAGGGGAUCACGGAAUUCC
rnacentral:rRNA from 1 species